UGUUUGUUGGUGACUCUAUUGGAAGAAACCAAUGGGAGUCCCUUCUCUGCAUGCUCUCCUCUGCAGCUCCUGAUAAAACUUCGAUAUUUGAAGUGAAUGGUAGCCCAAUCACAAAGCACACUGGUUUCUUGGCAUUCAAGUUCAGGGAUUUCAACUGCACUGUUGAGUACUACAGAGCUCCAUUUCUAGUGGUGCAGGAUCGGGCCCCGGCUAGAGCGCUCGAAAAGGCAAUAAGAGCAAUAUAGAGGCAUAAAAUGUGAAUGAAGAAGGAAGAGUGCAUCCAGAUUGCAGAAAUGCAUCAAACCCUUAUCAUCAAUGUAGUUUCCUCUUUGCUACAAACUUUUGCUACCCAAAUUGCAACUUGAAAGCGGUUGAAUUUAGUUUUCACUGAGUGGCACUAUUUUCUAUUAUCUUCACAUAUUACAUAGCUAAAAUAUUGUCUUGGUUUAUCUGGUUGUUUGGAAAUGUGCUUGCUGAAUUUUGGCUGGCUGACCUCUAUUUUCGUAGAGUUGUCCAAUUUAUUUUUCCUAUUACACAUUUUUGUAAAUGUAGGGUAACUGACUCUAUUAUAAGUUUUUUAAGUUCCUUGUGUUGUGAUAAUAAUAUGUCAUUCAGGUGCCCUAUAUUGUUGUAAUUUUCCUUGAAUUACCUAACGUCUUUGUAGACACUAUUAGGAGAAAUUAAGGCUACUGGUGUUAAGGUUUAGCACAGUUCAGUUGUUGCUGUUCCUAAUUCGCAUGAAGAUUUACAUGAUAAAAUAUAUGAUCGUGAAGAUGCCUCUAUAUCGGCCCAAUGAAUAUUCAUUUGUUCUACUUCUUGGUCUGGUAUGAGCUACUAUGAGGAGAUGACGCAUUUAUGGAAGGAUUAUCAGGUGGUUCAUGUUGUAAAAUCAGAUUCCAGACUUGCAAAUAAUGAUCUACCUAUUGAUAUCCAAAGGUUGAGAUGUCGUGCUCUGCAUUAUGCUCUCCGCUUCUCUCUUUCUAUUGACAAUCUUGGGAAGGUUAUGAGAAUACAUGAUAGUGAGACCGCAGAAGCUGGUGGAGCGGCUGAGAUCCCGUGGGGGAAGAUACAUUGCUCUUCAUCUGAGGUAUGAGAAAGACAUGUUAUCUUUCACUAGCUGUACUCAUGGUCUUACUAAUGCAGAAUCUGAAGAGCUAAGAAUAAUGAGGCUAUAUGUUGACAAGUGGCAAAACUUCUUGCCUCUGCAUUGGAUGUAAUGUACCUCCACUGGAAGAUGAAGAAGAUAAAUUCAACAGAACAGAGAAAAGGAGGCUUUUCUCCAUUAACCCCCGAAGAGGCUCGACGCAUAUUGGCAAAACUAGAUAUUUACAGGAAGUUUACUAAUGCUUGGCAGUCGCUGUUAUUGUGUCCUUAGGCUGGAUAUGCUAUGAGCUGUACUUACUCGGGAGAAGCAAGUGAAGAGUUUGACAGGGAUGAUCAUCAUGGUGGAUAUGAAGUUGCUACAUGUAGAAUUUAUGUGAGAGGAGAGGGAAAAAGCCAUUGGAGGGAAUAUGAUGAAGCUUUUUUUAU